rnacentral:lncRNA from 1 species
GAAAAACCCAGUCAGGCUGUUUGAAGGAACAACACAGACAUGCCAAGAAAUUCAGAUUAAAACUAGAAAUGACCAUGGAAAGCCUGGUGAAUGUUGCUCACAGGGAGAGGAGGCCUUGAGUCUGAGCCAGGGAUGUGGCUGGACUUAGGCUUAUCCCUAAGACUGGGACUUCUGACUUCUGACUGGAGUGAAAGCAGUGCUAAUAGAGGAGGACUGGGGCUGAAGAUGCAGACAGCUCUUUCCACCCUCUUGGUAAAUAUGCAGUUGUGUGUUUUUUUUUUUUUUUUUUUUUUUUUUUUUUUUUUUUUUUUUUUUUUUUCUAAGUAGUGAGAAUGUGAAGAUGCACUAGAAUACCACCUUCUGUUUCAGAUAAAGUGGAAGAUGUUUCCUAAUGUUGAACAUCAUAAAAUUGGGCUAGCUCUUGAGCUAGUGUAAAUCAAUACAAAAAAUUGGCAUGCUCCCCUGAAGUAAUGGGACCUGGAUCAUUUAAACAAGUCAGUGUUCAACAUGAAUUAACUGUAUAAUUUAGCCACUUGCUUUGAUUUGUGGGAUUUAAUGUUAGAAAAGCAUGAAAGAAUUCAACCUUUCAAAAAUACCCAUACAGCUAAGUGCAGAACUGGAUGCUCAGUGGUAACUCUACAUUGUUUCAAAAUAAUUGCAUGGGGGCCAGGAUUUCAUUUUUUCCCUGCUGGUUCAAGUCUCUUAAAUUAUACAACAUUCUGCCCUAAUCUUUAGGCUGAGGUAAAUGCUCUGCAAACUCUGCUUGGCCUGUUGGUCAGCUGUAGAGGUGUUAAUUUGAAGCUGCUGUGGUUUGAGGGUGAGGUGGUGCGCUGAGUUAAUGCAGAAAUGCUUUACCUUGUGAAAUCAAGCUUCUGCUUCAAAUCUGAAAAUGCUCUGGCAGUGCCAGUCCAGUGUUGGAGCUUGCUGCCACCCCUCCCAGCAGCUUGCAGUGUGGGUUUGCUGGCAGGGAGCACAGGUGCAGGAGAGGUUUGGGGCUGCGGCUUGAGGAGCAUCCUCAGGCGCUGUUUGAGGGACCGGCUGGGGACACUGCAGACAGCGUGCGAUCUGAACUUCACAGAAUCACAGGGGAUGGCACUGUACCCUUCUGUGCUGAAAAGAGCUUGAGGAGAAAACUGCAUGAUCCAACAAGCAGAGAAGUGGGAAAGGGUAACGGAACAAUAUUCCAUGGAAGUGCUCAGAGACAAGUAUUUGCUUCUGAGGAGUUAGAAAGGAAGCUGAAGCACUAAGAACUGUGAGACAUUUGUUAGCCUUUUGUUAUCCAAGCUCAAGAAGCCCUAUGUCCACAGCUGGCAGAAGACCUCUUAACACACAGCAUAACAGCACCCUGCUGAAGAAGGGGGAUCCAUGUAAGAAAGGCAAUCGCUUGAAAAAAAUGCUGUCACGGUCAAUAAUUAAGCUGUGUAACUGUGCAAAUACAGAUAACUUUGUACGCCACAAACUCUAUUUCCUGCUGGGAAAAUUAGCAGUGACUGAGGGGUGCCUCUGUGUCAGCAACAGGAAAGCAUGAGGCUUAUUUAAAUAUAUGCAAUGGGAAAUAAGAUGGGGACAUAAAACACAAUUGGCUGCUGAGGUUCUAGAUGACAGCGGGAUAUAUCAACUUCAUUAAGAGGUUUGUUGAAACCCCUGAUUGUGUCUUUGUGAGACACUACCUUGCUGUAUGUCUGUUAUUUAUUUUAUUUUUCCAGCUUAAGUGCAGCAAGACAGCAAUACAGUCCAAAGGACUUGUAGCGGGGGGAAGGGGAGAUCAGUGGAUAAGAGAGAUCCCCAGUGAAAAUUCCCACCUGACAUCAGCUUCCAGGCUAACAAAGGUUUGUAAGUGCUAGUUCGAGGCACAUGGCUCCUACCCUGCCCAUGGGACUAUUGUGAGCAGUAGCUGGUUUGAAUUCCAAGAAACUAUACUCCAGAUGUUAACUCCAGAUAAGAUUGUGCAAUGUGAAAAGGGUGACAGUUUCUCUAAAAACUAGAUUGUCCUGCUCCCAUCUGUUGCUUCCAAGUCAACCGUAGCAUUGCACCAUCAGAUUUGUUUACUCAGUUCAGGAUAACAGUCUAUUAAAGAAAAUAUUUGGCAUGUUCUGUCACUGUUAGCUAUUGACACAAGAUGCAGUCCUGCAAUUGCUUUACCUUUUUACCAAAAAGAGAGACAAGUGGUAGCUAUAUGGAAAGGCCACACAUAGUUUUCAAACUUGCUCAUGCUGUUACUAAGAGAUUUCACUUUUUGAACCUGAAGACCUCUAUUACCCUCAUUCACUAUUGUAUGCCAUCCCUGUGGCUACAAGUCAUUACUUACAUGGAAACAUAAUGUUAGGAAAGAAUGAAACAUUUCUAGCAGCUUCGAGUCCAGUUUGGUGGGUUGAGAAAAAGGUGAACCAUCCCCAUGAAAUAAGUUUGUUCUCCAAUGACCGGUUUAAUAUAGGUAUAUUGUGAGAGGGAAUGUUCUGCUGGUGGGCAAAUGGAUAAAAUUUGCCCAUUGUAUAAAAAAAAAUUUUUUUUUCUUUCCCCCCCCCCCCCCAGCUUUCUAUCCAGUAACACUUACUCCUUACCAGAACUACUAUGUUCUUCUGGGUUUCAGGUUCAUAUUCUAAUGAGUUUCAGAUGCAUAACUGAAAUCAGCAGGGAGACGGAAACCUAAACAGUUUUGAGUAUUGGGCCUAAUAGUUACAUGUAUCUCUUCAAGUCUCGAUCUUUCCAGAAUAGGAAAAAAAAAAAAAGUCAAAUAAAAUUUAAGAUUCAG